UCGAGCGCAGUCCUUCGGGACCGAGCGGCGGACGGGUUAGUAACGCGUGGGAAUAUACCCAGAUCUAAGGAAUAGCCUCGGGAAACUGAGGGUAAUACCUUAUACGCCCUUCGGGGGAAAGAUUUAUCGGAUUUGGAUUAGCCCGCGUUAGAUUAGAUAGUUGGUGGGGUAAUGGCCUACCAAGUCUACGAUCUAUAGCUGGUUUUAGAGGAUGAUCAGCAACACUGGGACUGAGACACGGCCCAGACUCCUACGGGAGGCAGCAGUGGGGAAUCUUAGACAAUGGGCGCAAGCCUGAUCCAGCCAUGCCGCGUGAGUGAUGAAGGCCUUAGGGUCGUAAAGCUCUUUCGCCAGAGAUGAUAAUGACAGUAUCUGGUAAAGAAACCCCGGCUAACUCCGUGCCAGCAGCCGCGGUAAUACGGAGGGGGUUAGCGUUGUUCGGAAUUACUGGGCGUAAAGCGCACGUAGGCGGAUCAGAAAGUAUAGGGUGAAAUCCCAGGGCUCAACCCUGGAACUGCCUUGUAAACUCCUGGUCUUGAGUUCGAGAGAGGUGAGUGGAAUUCCGAGUGUAGAGGUGAAAUUCGUAGAUAUUCGGAGGAACACCAGUGGCGAAGGCGGCUCACUG
rnacentral:rRNA from 1 species